GAAUGUGCCAAUUCUGUCAUUCAUGCUUACGUACCCAUAGUAGAGAAAAGGAAGGAUGCGGCUUUUACAGACCAGCACAAAGCAUGGCAACAAUUGCGGAGGGGACGAUAUGUUGAAUUCAAUUUGGUUUAUGAUCGGGGCACAACAUUUGGACUAAAAACUGGAGGGAGGAUAGAGAGUAUUCUUGUUUCUCUUCCACUAACUGCUUGGUGGGAAUAUGAUCAUAAACCUGAGGAAGGAAGCGAGGAAUGGAAGCUUUUAGAUGCUUGCAUCAACCCAAAGGAAUGGAUAUGGUUAUUUAGCUGCCCCCAUCUUCACUGUGCCCUUUAUGUUUCAAACUAUACGAGAGCUUGUUUCCACUACUCUUUUUUUUUUGGGGGUGUAUUGUAUAGUUGAUUAUGUUAUGAUAACUGGGAAGGCUAUAUCUAGAGAGUGAUGCCCUUA